rnacentral:lncRNA from 1 species
GCAAAAGUAAAAUGCCCCAAGGGAUGAAGAAAUUAUGAUAUGUAAAUGUAUAGAAAUGAUUUGUAGAAAUUACAAAUUGGUGUUUAAAAUCAUUUAAUGAUAAUGAAAAUGGUUAAUGGUAAAUUAUAUAGUCAAUGAGUAAUUCAGAGUCUGAUAUAUUUUCCAAACACAAAAAUCUUGAACAGCAUUAUAACCAAUAUUUAUCUCUAUUGUGUGAUUUUAAAGACAUCUUCAUUAUCUUCUUUAUAAUUUUCAUAUUGUCCAACUUUUCAAUAAUCAAUAUGUAUGAUUUUACAAUCAGGAGAAAUAAAGCAGUCACUGAUUUUUCUAAAAAUUUAUAAAAUGGAAAAUGUAAAACAGCAUUACCUCCAUCGAGUUUUACUCUCUGAAAAAUAUUAAUUUAUCCUUAGACUAUGUAAUUUAAAAAACAUAAUAAAAUAGAAACAAGUAAAUUUCAUUUGGAUGCAAGGAAAAGUAUUCUUGUUAAUGAUAAAACAAUGUCAUCCACUAAAAUAACAAGGUUAAGGACUUAGAGGUAUCAAAUGGCCAGACAGAUAUAGAUAAUUUCUGAAUGAUAACUCACAGCUUUGGUUACUUUUCUUUGGUAAACAUGAUCAUAGGCACAAAGGUUCUGGUGAUUCGUGUGCUUUUUUUUUUUAAUGAGUUUGUAUUUUAGACUUUGUAGGUUGCUUUUCAUACAUUAUCUCUUAAACUGUGAGAAAGGUAUUUUUACCAUUGAUAGAGGCAGGAGACAGGCAAAUGCCUAGGAAAUAGGGAAGGGCCCCCGGGAGAACCUCUGACCUGCUCCGCAAGUAUUCACACCAGAUGUUUUUGUGCAGAUAAAGGAACCAGUGCAGGGUCUUGCCUGGGCAUGCCCACAAUGAACCGGAGGCGAACAUGCACUGGAGGAAUGGGGUAGAGCCACCAGGAAUUUGUGCUGUAUACUGGGGAGGAGCCUGGCCUCAUCAACUCCUGUGUGGUGGCCUGGAAUUCAAUUUGUGAGGUGGAAACCUGAGUGCAGGACUGCUCUUUUUGUUGAGAGCUUUCCUUUUGCUUAAUAAAUUCUGGGCCGGGCACUUUGGCUCACACCUGUAAUCCUAGCACUUUGGGAAGCCAAGGCUGGCGGAUCACCUGAGGUCUGUUAGGUCCAUUUGUUCCAAGGUGUAGUUUAAAUCUAUUGUUUUUUUUUUUUGACUUUCUGUCUUGAUAAACUGUUUAGUGCUUGGAGCCUUUGUUCAUAUUUUCUUAUUCUUUUUUCUUUUCUUUCUUGUAUUGGGUUAGUUCGAAGUCCUUGUCUUCAAACUCUGAAUUUCUUCUACUUGUUCAAUUCUAUUGCUGAGACUUUCCAGAGCAUUUUGCAUUUCUAAAAGUGUGUCCACAGUGUCCUGAAUUUUUUAUUGUUUUUUUUCUUCAAACUAUCUAUUUCCAUGAAUAUUUCUCCCUUCACUUCUUGUAUAAUUUUUUGGAUUUCCUUGCAUUGGGCUUUGCCUUUCUCUAGCCCCUCCCUGAUUAGCUUAAUAACUAAGCUUUGAAUACUUUUUCAGGUAAAUCAGGGAUUUCUUCUUAGUUUGGAUCCAUUGCUGGUGAACCAGUGUGAUUUUUGGGGGGUACUGAAAAGGCUUGUUUUGUCAUAUUACCAGGGUUGUUUUUCUGGUUCUUUUUUGAGGGAGGAGAGAGACCCUCUCAUAUUGUUUUAUAUUGUUUUAUACUCAGUACCUGUUUUAAGAAAAACAACAAGGAAGUAAAACCAAAGACAGGCAGCCUGGCACCAGGCCUGAAACCAGGCCUGGGCCUGCCUCGCCUAAAUCCAGUAGUUAAAAAUCAAUUCAUAACUUAGAAACCGAUGUUAUUCAUAGAUUCCAGACAUUGUAUAGAAGAGCAUUGUGAAACUCCCUGCCCUGUUCUGUUUCUCUCUGACCACCCGUGCAUGCAGCCCCUGUCACGUACCGCCUGCUUGCUCAAAUCAAUCACGACCCUUUCAUGUGAAAUCUUUAGUGUUGUGAGCCCUUAAGAGGGACAGAAAUUGAGCAUUCGGGGAGCGCGGAUUUUGAGGCAGUAGCUUGCCGAUGCUCCCAGGUGAAUAAAGCCCUUCCUUCCAUAACUCGGUGCCUGAGAGGUUUUGUCUGCAGCUCGUCCUGCUACAUUCUCAUUUGGUCUCUCUUCAGAAUCAGAAUAAACUAGGAUUUCAUUGAACAGAAAGCCAGCAUGAAAGUGAUAUGUGGAACUCUUUUUUUUCUAAAUCAUUGCAACAUCCAGAAUUUGCCACUCUCCUGCAUUAUGUAUUUUUCUUAAAGAAACACGAAAUGGGCCGGGCGCGGUGGCUCAUGCCUAUAAUCCCAGCACUUUGGGAGGCCAAGGCGGGCGGAUCACGACAUCAGGAGAUGGAGACCAUCCUGGCUAACACGGUGAAACCCCGUUUCUACUAAAAAUACAAAAAAAUUAGCCAGGCGUGGUGGCGGGCGCCUGUGGUCCCAGCUACUCUGGAGGCUGGGGCAGGAGAAUGGAGUGAACCCGGGCGGCGGAGCUUGCAGUGAGCCGAGAUCGCGCCACUGCGCUCCAGCCUGGGCGACAGAGCGAGACUCCGUCUCAAAACAAAAAACAUGAAAUGAUAUAUAUUUUGUUUUGUAAGCUAUGCUAAAUUUGAUUUUAAAAAAGUAGUCUGUUGUUUUAGCUUCAAAAUAUCAAUUUAUUUUGAUCUGGGCUGAUUGUAAACAUGCCAAUUUCAGAAUAAAUAUAUGCAUAUUUUAAUAUUUCCAUGAAAAUUAUAUUCUUGCAUCUUAAUAAUCGCCCCAAAAUUUGCAUGAAGGUCACAUUUUAUAAGUGUUAUGCUGCCUGCAAACUUUUAUUAUUUAAAAUAU